rnacentral:rRNA from 1 species
UCGAACGGGAAAAGUCCUUCGGGAACCGAGUACAGUGGCGCACGGGUGAGUAAUACGUAGGUGACCUACCUAUUGCUGGGGAACAACCCCGGGAAACCGGAGCUAAUUCCGCAUACGCUUUCCAGUCUGCGGGCUGGAACGGAAAGAUGGCCUCUUCAUGAAAGCUAUCGGCGAUAGAUGGGCUUGCGCGUCAUUAGCUUGUUGGUGAGGUAACGGCUCACCAAGGCUGCGAUGACUAGCUGGUCUGAGAGGAUGAUCAGCCACACUGGCACUGGAACACGGGCCAGACUCCUACGGGAGGCAGCAGUGGGGAAUAUUGCGCAAUGGGCGAAAGCCUGACGCAGCAACGCCGCGUGAGUGACGAAGGCCUUCGGGUCGUAAAGCUCUGUCGAGAGGGACGAAACACUGGUGAGAACAAUACCUCACCGGCUUGACGGUACCUCCAAAGGAAGCACCGGCUAACUCCGUGCCAGCAGCCGCGGUAAUACGGAGGGUGCAAGCGUUGUUCGGAAUUACUGGGCGUAAAGGGCGUGUAGGCGGAUCAAGAAGUCGGGUGUGAAAGCCCUUGGGCUUCAACCAGGAAGUGCGCCCGAAACCAUUGGUCUUGAGUUUCNGCAGGGGAGCGGGGAAUUCCCAGUGUAGAGGUGAAAUUCGUAGAUAUUGGGAAGAACACCGGUGCCGAAGGGGCCGCUCUGGACGAAAAC